AGGGCGAACGCUGGCGGCAUGCCUAACACAUGCAAGUCGCACGGUCGGGGGGAGACUUCCGGCAGUGGCGGACGGGUGAGUAACGCGUAGGGAUCUAUCCUUGGAUGGGGGACAACCGCGGGAAACCGCGGCUAAUACCGCAUGAUGCCUGAGGGCCAAAGCUCGCGAGAGCGUCUGGGGAGGAGCCUGCGUCCGAUUAGCUAGUUGGUGGGGUAACGGCCCACCAAGGCGACGAUCGGUAGCUGGUCUGAGAGGAUGAUCAGCCACACUGGGACUGAGACACGGCCCAGACUCCUACGGGAGGCAGCAGUGGGGAAUAUUGGACAAUGGGCGCAAGCCUGAUCCAGCAAUGCCGCGUGGGUGAAGAAGGUCUUCGGAUUGUAAAGCCCUUUCGGCGGGACGAUGAUGACGGUACCCGCAGAGAAGCCCGGCUAACUUCGCGCCAGCAGCCGC
rnacentral:rRNA from 1 species